rnacentral:rRNA from 1 species
GUGAGGAAUAUUGCACAAUGGGCGAAAGCUUGAUGCAGCAACGCCGCGUGGGCGAUGAAGGUCUUCGGAUCGUAAAGCCCUUUUCCAGAGGAAGAGGAAGGACAGUACUCUGGGAAUAAGUGUCGGCUAACUACGUGCCAGCAGCCGCGGUAAAACGUAGGACACUAGCGUUAUCCGGAUUUAUUGGGCGUAAAGCGCGUGUAGGCGGUGCUCUAAGUUGGAUGUAAAAUCUCCUGGCCUAACUGGGAGGCGCCAUUCAAUACUGGAGCACUUGAGGGCAGAAGAGGGAAGUGGAAUUCCCGGUGUAGCGGUGGAAUGCGUAGAUAUCGGGAGGAACACCUGUGGCGAAAGCGGCUUCCUGGGCUGCCCCUGACGCUGAUACGCGAAAGCUAGGGGAGCGAACGGGAUUAGAUACCCUUGUAGUCC